AUGAAACUGUUGUUGUUGUUAUUAUCAUUUUUAAUAUUAUUAUCUGACUAUCAAUUCAAUUCAAUUCAAUUUUAUUUAUAUAGCGCCAAAUCUGUCACGGCCUGGAGGUUCAGCUGGUCGCUGAUCAGCUGUCUCUGCCUCUUUCUCUCUAGUCCGCUCUCUCUCUAUCCCUCUCUCUCUCUCGCCAGGGCUGAACUCAUUAUGGGUUCACGCCCUUGGCCCACGCCCUCGGAGGAAGAAACACCUGUGCCUCAUCAGUGUGGCUGGUAUUUAAGCCAGGAAGCAACGACUGUUCUUCGCUGGAUCGUUGUGAGAAUCGCACUCCCUGGACUGUUUCCCUGGUGUGCGAGUGGAUUUGCGUUUGGAUUGUGUGGAGAGAGACGAGCGUGUUCCCCUGGAUUUUCCCCGGAGCCCUGCCCCCCUCACCUUUUGUACAUAGCACUGCCCCGCACCCUUGUAGAUAGCAUUGCCCCGCAUCUGUGUAUAUACACUCAUUGGACUUUGUUCUUCAAUAAAUUCUCUUGUGUGCAUCAUCCCCGGAGUCCGGCGCGUGAGUCCACCUUGUACUCCGUGACAAAAUCACAACAAAAGUCGCCUCAAGUCGCUUCAUAGGUACGGAGAAAAACCCAACAAUCAUAUGACCCCCUAUGAGCAAGCACUUUGGCGACAGUGGGAAGGAAAAACUCCCUUUUAACAGGAAGAAACCUCCGGCAGAACCAGGCUCAGGGAGGGGCGGGGCCAUCUGCUGCGACCGGUUGGGGUGAGAGAAGGAAUCCACAUGGAAAUAAAAAAUAUGUUAUAAUGAUAUAUGUAAACCCAAAUACCUGUAAACAUUUUGAAAAUGUUGGAGUCUAUUUUGAUUAGUAUCUUGGGAACACAAUUUGAUGACAGCUAUCACCUCCAAACACUUUACUCUGAGGUAUUUUUUUAAAACAGCAAAUAUUUCAAUAUUUGCCUGUCUUCUUUUCAGUACUUGUUAAAUAUGCAUCUCAUCAAAUCUCCCUAUAAUGCUUGCUUACUUUUCUGGCUCUCUUUGUCACUGCAGGCUGAUAAAACACAAAGCACCACUCAGCUCACCUCCACUCCAUAUGGAGGACCAUCACUCGACUCGCAGAUUACUGUAAUUGUCCCAACUUUGCUCUGUACCUGAUAGAACACCAUACCAGCUGAUGAGAGCACUCACCAAUGCAGGACUCUGGUUAUUAGCAUCUACCAAACUGAUUUCUGUCAGUGAGCACUAUGCAAUUAUAUUGCAUGUUGUCUUGUGUCAUAUAUUGUUUGGGAAUGGCUUCCGUUUGGUUUUGUUCUGUCUGAGAAUUUUUCCAAAUUAGUUUUGAAAGUGUAACACAUAAGAUUUUGAGAACAAAUAAUGUUGAAAAGUUACUACUUUGAUGUAACAUACAAUCUGAUUUUCCCUUGGUUCAAGUACUGUAAUGUUUCCACUGACACUAGAUACACUUAUAUUGAAAUUAUUAUUUUGGUGAUAUAAUAUAUGUGAUAUAAAUAAAUGGU
rnacentral:lncRNA from 1 species